UUCGUGCACGCCGUUAGCUUGAGAGUUUCCUGCGUUUUCUGUGUUCUUUGUGUGCUUCGCUGUGACAUCUUUGGAAUAUUCCUGCGUGUUGCUCGCUUUUUAUGGACUUGUUGCCUCGAAGAUCGCCAUGAUCGCCUCCGACUCAGCGACAUCAAGGAUUCAAAAUGAGCUGGGAGAGGCCCCAGCUGGAACGGUUCACAUAGGUUGAAGGAGUGCACAUUGAGAAGGUUAUCGUGGCACAGUUUACCAUGGCCUGCCAUGGUAGACCAGGAAAGUUUGCAAGGGCCUUGCUUCACCAUGUGUUCACAGAGGAGGAGCUCAUGGGCCAUUUGGGCUUUGGAAAUAACACCAAGGGGCAAAAAAGGCUCUUGACCCCACCAGGGUCAGUGCUGUU